rnacentral:rRNA from 1 species
UACGUAGGGUGCGAGCGUUGCCCGGAUUUAUUGGGCGUAAAGGGCGCGCAGGCGGCCGCGUACGUCCGUUGUGAAAUCGCCCGGCUCAACUGGGCGGGGUCAGCGGAUACGGCGCGGCUGGAGCAAGCUAGGGGGCAAUGGAACUCCCGGUGUAGUGGUGGAAUGCGUAGAUAUCGGGAGGAACACCGAUGGCGAAGGCAGCUUGCUACACAAUUAUUGACACUGAGGCUCGAAAGCGUGGGGAUCAAACAGG